rnacentral:rRNA from 1 species
GACGAACGCUGGCGGCGUGCUUAACACAUGCAAGUCGAACGGAAAGGCCCUGCUUUUGUGGGGUGCUCGAGUGGCGAACGGGUGAGUAACACGUGAGUAACCUGCCCUUAUCUUUGGGAUAACUCUAGGAAACUGGGGCUAUAACCGCAUAGAAUCUCUUGCUCCAUGGUGGGGGUUGGAAAGUUUCGGCGGUUGGGGAUGGACUGGCGGCUUAUCAGCUUGUUGGUGGGGUAGUGGCUUACCAAGGCUUUGACGGGUAGCCGGCCUGAGCGGGUGGCCGGCGACAUUGGGACUGAGAUACGGACCAGACUCCUACGGGAGGCAAAAGGGGGAAACAUUGCGCAAUGGGCGGAAGCCUGAUGCAGCAACGCCGCGUGCGGGAUGACGGCCUUCGGGUUGUAAACCGCUGUCGCCUGUGACGAAGCGUGAGUGACGGUAAUGGGUAAAGAAGCACCGGCUAACUACGUG